rnacentral:tRNA from 1 species
GUGGCGUGGAAGUGCCCCAACUGGUUUACACCCAGUAGGUCGGGGGUUCGAUCCCCUCAGGCCGCACAA